rnacentral:rRNA from 1 species
UACGAAGGGUGCAAGCGUUAAUCGGAAUUACUGGGCGUAAAGGGUGCGUAGGCGGUUCGGUAAGUCUGUCGUGAAAUCCCCGGGCUCAACCUGGGAAUGGCGAUGGAUACUGGCGAGCUAGAGUGUGUCAGAGGAUGGUGGAAUUCCCGGUGUAGCGGUGAAAUGCGUAGAGAUCGGGAGGAACAUCAGUGGCGAAGGCAGCCCCCUGGGUCAAGACUGACGCUCAUGCACGAAAGCGUGGGGAGCAAACAGG